rnacentral:rRNA from 1 species
GACGAACGCUGGCGGCGUGCUUAACACAUGCAAGUCGAACGCGCCUGUCCUCUGGGUUUCUGGGGGGUGGGUGAGUGGCGCACGGGUGAGUAACACGUGAGUAACCUGCCCCCUUCUUCGGGAUAACGGUCUGAAAGGGCUGCUAAUACCGGGUAUUCACUGGUCUCCGCAUGGGGUCUGGUGGAAAGGUUUUUUUCUGGUGGGGGAUGGGCUCGCGGCCUAUCAGCUUGUUGGUGGGGUGAUGGCCCACCAAGGCUUUGACGGGUAGCCGGCCUGAGAGGGUAACCGGUCACGUUGGGACUGAGAUACGGCCCAGACUCCUACGGGAGGCAGCAGUGGGGAAUAUUGCACAAUGGGCGCAAGCCUGAUGCAGCGACGCCGCGUGAGGGAUGGAGGCCUUCGGGUUGUGAACCUCUUUCGCCCGUGGUCAAGCCGCGACGUGGGUCGUGGUGAGGGUAGUGGGUAAAGAAGCGCCGGCUAACUACGUG